rnacentral:rRNA from 1 species
UGGGGAAUAUUGGGCAAUGGGCGAAAGCCUGACCCAGCGACGCCGCGUGAGGGAAGACGGUCUUCGGAUUGUAAACCUUUGUCAACAGGAACGAAACAAAUGACGGUACCUGUGGAGGAAGCCACGGCUAACUACGUGCCAGCAGCCGCGGUAAUACGUAGGUGGCGAGCGUUAUCCGGAUUUACUGGGUGUAAAGGGUGUGUAGGCGGAAAGGCAAGUCAGAUGUGAAAAUGAUGGGCUCAACCCAUGACCUGCAUUUGAAACUGUCUUCCUUGAGAGUGGGAGAGGUAAAUAGAAUUCCUGGUGUAGCGGUGAAAUGCGUAGAUAUCAGGAGGAAUACCGGUGGCGAAGGCGAUUUACUGGCCCACAACUGACGCUGAGACACGAAAGCGUGGGGAGCAAACAGG